rnacentral:rRNA from 1 species
UACGGAGGGGGCUAGCGUUGUUCGGAAUUACUGGGCGUAAAGCGUACGUAGGCGGCUUUGUAAGUUAGAGGUGAAAGCCCGGGGCUCAACUCCGGAUCCGGUUCCCAAACUGCUAGACUUGAGCGUAUCAGAGGACAGCGGAAUUUCCGGUGUAGCGGUGAAAUGCGUAGAUAUCGGAAGGAACAUCAGUGGCGAAAGCGGCUUCCUGGUCCAGCACCGACGUUCAGGCACGAAAGCGUGGGGAGCAAACAGG